AGGAAUGCAGACUGGAUGGCUGGAACAUGGGCAACUAACGGGGCCAUGAAGCAAAAGCCACAUGUUGAGGAUGGCAGAGGUAAAAAAAAAAAAUCAAGAGACUUUGGAAUCCCAACAGCACACAGUGCCAUGCCUGCAUAGCUUUUCCUGAAUCCAGACUUCCAGAACAAGAGAGAAAAAUGAACUUCAAUUGCUUUUAGCUACUGUUAUUUUAAACUGUGGGCUACUCUAAGCUGAGCCAUACUGUAAAGGUUACAAUGGCAAAGGAUCAGGCCUCUAUUUCAAACAUUGGUUCCUAGGAUGUUGGCAGAAUAAACAUAAAUGCAGUAAGAAUAUCAUAACUAGCAUACGACUUCGGAAGGAGAAGAGAAAUACUCCGUCAUAAUUUCUGAAGUCCUAGCAGGACUCUGAGGCUUCUAUCACUGUUUACAGAAAUCUAAUAUCCUGCUGAUAUCAUGACAGAAGAAGUUGAAAAGGCCUCUUUUGAAGCUGUCUUCCAGAAUGUAGGAAGUGAAUCACACUUCUCCAUUCAUUAAACAGGUUGCAUUAACUUCCUAGAAGACCAGAAAAUUAAUACAGAAUAGAGGAGCCUACCUCCCAGUGAAAGGACAUUUAAUUAGUAGAUCUAUGAGAGUUACUUUCCUAGCUAGAGUUUUUCAAUUUGGAACUUUUCUGAGCAGCUAUUACACAAUCUUAACAAGAAUGUACAGAAAAUCAAUAAACUGAAAAGUUCAAUGUAGUAUAAUAUGACUAAACUUGGAAAUAUUGUGCAAUGCGGCAUUAUACUGAGCUAAUCCUAGCAGAUUCUUUUCUUGUUACUACAAUCCCUCCUAAUGCAUUAUAGUCCUCAGGUAAUGUACUUUUACUUUAAGGCAAAGUCAUUUCUGUGCAGCAGGGAGUGAUCCCUUGAGGAAAUUUGAUCUCAAGUCUUUUUUUUUUUUAUUUAAGGCAAAAUGAAUGUCAGGUAAAAUGUCUAGAUAACCCCUUGAAAACUCAGAACUCAUGCACACUGAAUAAUUGCUAUGUGAAGUAAAGAAUGAGUAAAUGCAUGAAAUAGCAAAUACAGCA
rnacentral:lncRNA from 1 species